AGUGAACGCUGGCGGUAGGCCUAACACAUGCAAGUCGAACGGCAGCACAGUAAGAGCUUGCUCUUACGGGUGGCGAGUGGCGGACGGGUGAGGAAUACAUCGGAAUCUAAUUUUUCGUGGGGGAUAACGUAGGGAAACUUACGCUAAUACCGCAUACGACCUACGGGUGAAAGCAGGGGAUCUUCGGACCUUGCGCGAUUGAAUGAGCCGAUGUCGGAUUAGCUAGUUGGCGGGGUAAAGGCCCACCAAGGCAACGAUCCGUAGCUGGUCUGAGAGGAUGAUCAGCCACACUGGAACUGAGACACGGUCCAGACUCCUACGGGAGGCAGCAGUGGGGAAUAUUGGACAAUGGGCGCAAGCCUGAUCCAGCCAUACCGCGUGGGUGAAGAAGGCCUUCGGGUUGUAAAGCCCUUUUGUUGGGAAAGAAAAGCAGCAGGUUAAUACCCCGCUGUUCUGACGGUACCCAAAGAAUAAGCACCGGCUAACUUCGUG
rnacentral:rRNA from 1 species